GAUCCCCUCCCCUCCCCUCUCUGCGAUCCCCUCGCCUUCCCGCUCCUAUCCUCUCUCGCAGAAAAAACAUCCCAUCCCUAAAAUAACGCCGUCCGCGCUCAUCGCUCUCCAUCGCGUCGCCAUUGUCCCCUUCGUCAGCCUCCCCCUCGCCAUCCAUCCGCCCCCCAGGUCCCCUCAACCCUAACCGCGCUGCCUCAACCGGUCGCCGCCGCCGCCUCACCCUGUGCCCUCGCCAGAUCGAUUCCGCGAUGCCCUGCCUCCUUGCCUUGCUCGCCUUGGAGCAUCUCGCGCUGGAUCCCGCAGGAAAUUUUGUGGAAUGCUAAUGACCACCGCAAUCAGCAAGGAGGCAAUCGCCCAGUGCUUCUUUGUGGAUUCCUUCCUUUAAUCUGAACAAAAAGGACUCAGAGCUGCUAUGUUGAGUUCAUCAGAGAUCAGUGCAGUACAAUCCAACUUUUGAUUAUUGAUACGUAGUCUUCAGUUUUCAACUGAUCAAUACAAGAACCUUAAUUCUAAUAAUCGCCAUUGAUCUCAGCUAAACACCCCUUAUAUAAUUGUUUAGCGGCUAUUUAUCUAGAAUGUAAGAAGAAAAAAAAGGGGGCCUUGUUUAAUGGCACUAACUGCACAUUGGUAAUAUAUCAUACUAUUAGGUAAAUAUUUACUGAUGUACUUUACACUCCUAUUAUGCAAAUGCUAAGUUACAAUAUGUACUUUACACUCCUAUUAUGCAAACGCUCUAGGCAUAUAUCUUUUUUGAACACAUAUAUUUUUCACAAGAGGUAGUAGUUAGCAGGUGAUAAACUGAUAACAAGAUAGCAGCAAGGCAUGGAUUGAGCGAUUAAGCUUCAUUUAAGACUGUACAGCACCUUCGCCACACACAACCGUCGUUCAAGCAAGCGUCGUCAUCGUCUUAGAGCGAGCAAGUGAACGGUGGGUUCAGGGUCAUCGCUCAGUGGGUUCAGGGUCAGUGCCGAGACGGCUCGUGCUGACCAACGGUGUCGCCGCUGCCGUCAUCAUCACCAUCACCGACCUCUUCUCUCAGAGACAUAAGAAAUGUGUUUAUAAAUAUAGCGCCGAGGCGGCUCAUGCUAACCAACGGCGUCGCCGCCGCUGCCAUCAUCACCGUGACUGACCUCUCCUCUCAGGUGAUGUGAGAGCGUUUUGAUUCGUAGAGUAUCUUCAUUGCUCUGCCAGAAGUUAUACUUCUGCUCAACAAAAGAGUUUGGUAAGAUUUGAACGGUUGGUUGUACAGAACAUGCCAGUUGAUUGACGGGAUGUACCCAGUUUGGAGCCCAUAUAACUUGUGUAUUUCUUAUUUGCAAUUAAUCCCAACAUUUAAAGGUGGUGUUGAAAUGGUCAUGUUUGGCGUUUGAGGUUAUAAAUUAGUGGCGUUGUAUUAUGCUUUCAUGCUGCUAUUGACAAAUCAAAUUGAUGUAUGUUAUUUCAAAACUUUGAAUAUAAAAUCGCAUUGUAAAUUGGUUUCAA